CAAAGUGGCAUUGCCCUAGUAACGGCGAGUGAAGCGGCAACAGCUCAAAUUUGAAAGCUAGCCUUCGGGUUCGCAUUGUAAUUUGUAGAGGAUGCUUUGGGUAAAACGCCAGUCUAAGUUCCUUGGAACAGGACGUCAUAGAGGGUGAGAAUCCCGUAUGUGACUGGAAAUGUUAACCUAUGUAAAGCUCCUUCGACGAGUCGAGUUGUUUGGGAAUGCAGCUCUAAAUGGGAGGUAAAUUUCUUCUAAAGCUAAAUAUUGGCGAGAGACCGAUAGCGCACAAGUAGAGUGAUCGAAAGAUGAAAAGCACUUUGGAAAGAGAGUUAAAAAGCACGUGAAAUUGUUGAAAGGGAAGCGCUUGCAAUCAGACUUGUUUAAACUGUUCGACCGGUCUUCUGACCGGUUUACUCAGUUUGGACAGGCCAGCAUCAGUUUCGGCGGCCGGAUAAAGGCUCUGGGAAUGUGGCCUCCACUUCGGUGGAGGUGUUAUAGCCCAGUGUGUAAUACGGCCAGCCGGGACUGAGGUCCGCGCUUCGGCUAGGAUGCUGGCGUAAUGGUUGUAAGCGACCCGUCUUGAAACACGGACACAAAAAG
rnacentral:rRNA from 1 species